rnacentral:rRNA from 1 species
CCUACGGGUGGCAGCAGUGAGGAAUAUUGGCCAAUGGGCGCGAGCCUGAACCAGCCAAGUAGCGUGAAGGAUGACUGCCCUACGGGUUGUAAACUUCUUUUAUGAAGGAAUCAAGUGCGGCACGUGUGCCUUUUUGUAUGUACCUUAUGAAUAAGGACCGGCUAACUCCGUGCCAGCAGCCGCGGUAAUACGGAGGGUCCGGGCGUUAUCCGGAUUUAUGGGGUUUAAAGGGAGCGUAGAUGGGUUGUUAAGUCAGUUGUGAAAGUGUGGGGCUCAACCUCAGAAUUGCAAUUGAGACUGGCAGCCUUGAGUACAGGUGAGGUAGGCGGAAUUCGUGGUGUAGCGGUGAAAUGCGUAGAUAUCACGAAGAACUCCGAUUGCGAAGGCAGCCUACUGAACUGCCACUGACAUUGAUGCUCGAAAGUGUGGGUAUCAAACAGGAUUAGAUACCCGUGUAGUC